AAUGAACGUUGGCGGCGUGGAUUAGGCAUGCAAGUCGUGCGGCAAGGAGGACUUCGGUUCUCCCUAGAGCGGCGAAAGGGAUAGGAAUACAUAGAUACAUGCCUCUUAGCCCGGGAUAGCGUUUGGAAACGAACGAUAAUACCGGACGCCCUCUCCGGAGGAAAGGUGAGAUUCCGCUAAGAGAUUGGUCUAUGUCCUAUUAGCUAGUUGGUAAGGUAACGGCUUACCAAGGCGAUGAUGGGUACGGGGUGUGAGAGCAUGACCCCGAUCACCUGGACUGAGACACUGCCCAGACGCCUACGGGCGGCUGCGGUCGAGAAUCUUCGGCAAUGGACGAAAGUCUGACCGAGCGACGCCGCGUGUAUGACGAAGGUCUUCGGAUUGUAAAGUACUGUCGAUUAGGCGGAAAUAAAUGGGGGCCAUCCCCUAUUUUUGACCUAUCAUUGGAGGAAGGACGGGCUAAGUUCGUGCCAGCCGCCGCAGUAAUAC
rnacentral:rRNA from 1 species